rnacentral:rRNA from 1 species
GCACGCUGAUAUGUAGGUGAAGUCCCUCGCGGAUGGAGCUGAAAUCAGUCGAAGAUACCAGCUGGCUGCAACUGUUUAUUAAAAACACAGCACUGUGCAAACACGAAAGUGGACGUAUACGGUGUGACGCCUGCCCGGUGCCGGAAGGUUAAUUGAUGGGGUUAGCCGCAAGGCGAAGCUCUUGAUCGAAGCCCCGGUAAACGGCGGCCGUAACUAUAACGGUCCUAAGGUAGCGAAAUUCCUUGUCGGGUAAGUUCCGACCUGCACGAAUGGCGUAAUGAUGGCCAGGCUGUCUCCACCCGAGACUCAGUGAAAUUGAACUCGCUGUGAAGAUGCAGUGUACCCGCGGCAAGACGGAAAGACCCCGUGAACCUUUACUAUAGCUUGACACUGAACAUUGAGCCUUGAUGUGUAGGAUAGGUGGGAGGCUUUGAAGUGUGGACGCCAGUCUGCAUGGAGCCGACCUUGAAAUACCACCCUUUAAUGUUUGAUGUUCUAACGUUGACCCGUAAUCCGGGUUGCGGACAGUGUCUGGUGGGUAGUUUGACUGGGGCGGUCUCCUCCUAAAGAGUAACGGAGGAGCACGAAGGUUGGCUAAUCCUGGUCGGACAUCAGGAGGUUAGUGCAAUGGCAUAAGCCAGCUUGACUGCGAGCGUGACGGCGCGAGCAGGUGCGAAAGCAGGUCAUAGUGAUCCGGUGGUUCUGAAUGGAAGGGCCAUCGCUCAACGGAUAAAAGGUACUCCGGGGAUAACAGGCUGAUACCGCCCAAGAGUUCAUAUCGACGGCGGUGUUUGGCACCUCGAUGUCGGCUCAUCACAUCCUGGGGCUGAAGUAGGUCCCAAGGGUAUGGCUGUUCGCCAUUUAAAGUGGUACGCGAGCUGGGUUUAGAACGUCGUGAGACAGUUCGGUCCCUAUCUGCCGUGGGCGCUGGAGAACUGAGGGGGGCUGCUCCUAGUACGAGAGGACCGGAGUGGACGCAUCACUGGUGUUCGGGUUGUCAUGCCAAUGGCACUGCCCGGUAGCUAAAUGCGGAAGAGAUAAGUGCUGAAAGCAUCUAAGCACGAAACUUGCCCCGAGAUGAGUUCUCCCUGACUCCUUGAGAGUCCUGAAGGAACGUUGAAGACGACGACGUUGAUAGGCCGGGUGUGUAAGCGCAGCGAUGCGUUGAGCUAACCGGUACUAAUGAACCGUGAGGCUUAACCUUACAACGCCGAAGGUGUUU